GGAAAUGUGGCUUAGUGGUAGAGUGCUUGCCUAGCACGCAUGAAGCUCUGGGUUCAAAACCUCAGUACCA
rfam:Dipodomys ordii contig_64344, whole genome shotgun sequence.